AUGACACCUGGAGAACUAGCCCUUGCAAGUGGCAACCACACUCCAGUUACCCAGUUCAUCUUGUUGGGAUUCUCCAGCUAUCCAGAUCUCCAGGAGCUUCUAUUUGUAACCUUCCUGCUCAUUUAUGCCAUCACGGUGAUGGGCAACCUGGGAAUGAUGGCACUCAUCUUCACAGACUCCCGUCUCCAUAGUCCCAUGUAUUUCUUCCUCAGUGUCCUCUCUUUUCUUGAUCUUUGUUACUCUUCUGUGGUCACACCCAAGCUCUUAGCCAACUUCCUGGCCUCUGACAAGACCAUCUCUUCCGAGGGCUGUGUGAUCCAGCUGACCUUCUUUGUGGUGCAUGUGACAGCUGAGAGCUUCCUGCUGGCCUCCAUGGCCUAUGACCGCUUCGCGGCCAUCUGCCAACCCCUCCAUUACAGUUCAGUCAUGACCAAAGAGACCUGUCUCCAGCUGGUAGCUGCUUCCUAUGCAUUUGGUGGCACCAACUCUGCUAUCCAGACUGGGAAUGUCUUGCUCUGCCUUUCUGUGGGCCCAACCAGGUGACACACUACUUCUGUGACAUCCCUCCCCUUCUCCACUGGGCUGUGCCAACACAGCCACAGCAGGAGUGGUCCUCUAUAUCUUCUCCGCUCUGGUUACCCUUCUGCCUGCUGCAGUCAUCCUCACCUCCUACAGCUUGGUCUUGGUGGCCUUUGGGAGGAUGCGCUCAGCAGCUGGGCGGGAGAAGGCCCUCUCCACAUGUGCCUCCCACUUGCUGGCCAUUGUCAUUUUCUAUGGCACUGUGGUUUUCACCUAUGUCCAGCCUCAUGGAUCCACUAAUGAUACCAAUGACCAAAUAGUGUCCGUGUUUGACACCAUCAUAAUUCCCAUGCUCAACCCCUUCAUCUAUAGCUUCCGCAACAAGGAGGUGAAGGACGCGGUGCAGAGGAAGCUCCGGGUCAGUAUCUCUCCCUGCUGA